rnacentral:rRNA from 1 species
GCCCGCCAGAGAAUUACACGCAACAGCGUAAAACCCAAAGGACUUGACGGUGUCCCACAUCAAUCUAGAGGAGCCUGUCCUAUAAUCGAUACUCCACGCGUAACCCCGCCCCCCCUAGCCAAUCAGCCUAUAUACCGCCGUCUCCAGCUAGCCUAAUGAUAGUUAACAAAGCCAACAUAAUUGUCUAUCACAAACACGCCAGGUCAAGGUGUAGCUCAUGUGGGGGAAGAGAUGGGCUACAUUUCCUAAUAUAGGGCAAACCAACCGCAACACGAAAUGGUCGCCAAAAGUAGGAUUUAGCAGUAAGGCUAAAUCAAACAUGUUAGCCUGAA